rnacentral:rRNA from 1 species
UCCAGACUCCUACGGGAGGCAGCAGUGGGGAAUAUUGCACAAUGGGGGAAACCCUGAUGCAGCGACGCCGCGUGAGUGAAGAAGUAUUUCGGUAUGUAAAGCUCUAUCAGCAGGGAAGAAAAAAGACGGUACCUGACUAAGAAGCCCCGGCUAACUACGUGCCAGCAGCCGCGGUAAUACGUAGGGGGCAAGCGUUAUCCGGAAUUACUGGGUGUAAAGGGUGCGUAGGUGGCAUGGUAAGUCAGAAGUGAAAGCCCGGGGCUUAACCCCGGGACUGCUUUUGAAACUGUCAUGCUGGAGUGCAGGAGAGGUAAGCGGAAUUCCUAGUGUAGCGGUGAAAUGCGUAGAUAUUAGGAGGAACACCAGUGGCGAAGGCGGCUUACUGGACUGUCACUGACACUGAUGCACGAAAGCGUGGGGAGCAAACAGGAUUAGAUACCCGUGUAC